ACGAACGCUGGCGGCAUGCCUAACACAUGCAAGUCGCACGAGACCUUCGGGUCUAGUGGCGCACGGGUGCGUAAUGCGUGGGAACCUGCCCUUAGGUUCGGAAUAACUCCCCGAAAGGGGUGCUAAUACCGGAUAAUGUCUUCGGACCAAAGAUUUAUCGCCUUUGGAUGGGCCCGCGUUGGAUUAGCUAGUUGGUAGGGUAAAAGCCUACCAAGGCGACGAUCCAUAGCUGGUCUGAGAGGAUGAUCAGCCACACUGGGACUGAGACACGGCCCAGACUCCUACGGGAGGCAGCAGUGGGGAAUAUUGGACAAUGGGCGAAAGCCUGAUCCAGCAAUGCCGCGUGAGUGAUGAAGGCCUUAGGGUUGUAAAGCUCUUUUACCCGGGAUGAUAAUGACAGUACCGGGAGAAUAAGCUCCGGCUAACUCCGUG
rnacentral:rRNA from 1 species